GUUGGUAAAAAUUAUAUAGUUGAGAAGCCAUUUGGAAAGGCAGAGAUGCAAGAAGACCAGAGUCAGAGGAAAGGGUAGAGAAUGGAAAAUAUCGGUUCAUGAAAUGACGGAAUUGAUCCAAGUCACUGUGGCUAAUCAAGAAGGCCCAGUGAAGGGUGAGAAAUCUGCAAAUCUUCCUUUACUGGUGUAUUUCUUCUUAUUCAGCUGACCUCUUUCUGUUCAGGUCACAUCGCCCAGGCCUCUUGAACUGCCAGAAUACAGACCUCUUCAGGGCCUCAGGCCAUAAGCACUUUCAGAAUCCUAAACACAAUAAAGCCUCCAGAGCCAGCACUUCACCACCUUGCAUGUAGAAG
rnacentral:lncRNA from 1 species